ensembl:lncRNA
AUUUUUAUUUAAAUUUCCAUUUUUAUCUUUUUUACUCUAAUUACACUUUCUAAGCUCCUCCCUGCAAAUUUGAUAGCAUACAUAUCGUGUAAAAACUUUGCAUUGAAAGGGCAGUGACAUAGUCCUUAAAAAAUGAAAUAUUUCUUUCAAAUCAUUUGAGCAGUCAAUUCUCACUUAGAUGGAUUCAUCUGCAGUCAGCAAAAUACGCAAAAAGAACCUAACAGAAGAAGAAUAUAAAAGAAAAUUCCAAUCCAUGCGCAGGGAUCUCUCCCACAUCCAGAUCCUCAACCAUUUGGUAAAGAUUUAGCUGACAUCAAGCUCAACGAAUUC